GUCGAACAGAGACAGCAGCGGCGGCGCCCCUCUCUCCCCCUCUCAAAUCUUCACUCAAAAUCGGCCGGAUCUUAAGCUUUUUGUCGUGGAUUUCGUCGCCCAUCCAUCCCUAAAGGAACACUUCGAGCAUGGUCACGCGGUAGGAAGGAUGCCAAAAGCAGGGGUGUAGAUGUCCACGGCCGUUGUUGCCCAUCAGGACCCUCUUCGGCAUCUUCACUGACGGGUCUGCUGAAUGAAACAAAGAUAUUGGGGUGCUGCUGCGUAAUAACAGGAUGACACUUCUCAGUGAGCAUUAUGAUAAGGGUCACCGUGGGCGGCUUAUGGCGGAUGAGAGACAGGUCUUUUGUCCCCUGCGCCUGAGGGCUCAUGAGGCUUCAUCCAAUAAGAUGAGAUAUGAUGAGCGGUACACACAGUACAUUGAGAGGCUGGGACUCCUUCCAUUCAUCCAGCUUGUCACUCGGUCGACGCCAAGCAUGAACCCUUGUGCGAUCACCGCGCUUGUUGACCGCUGGAGGCCGGAGACUCACAGUUUUCACCUCCGGACUGGGGAGAUGAUUGUGACUCUCCAGGAUGUUUCGAUGAUCCUGGCACUUCCCAUCGAGGGAGUUCCUGUUUGUUUUAGCACUGGUGCUGCUGGUUGGCGCGGUAGGAUGUUUGAGCUUAUCGGUGCAGUUCCUGCGGUGCCGGAAGACCCAACUAAAAACAGAGUCCCCGCCGGCGCGACUUAUGUCUGGAUUGUAGAACAUUUUAGUCAGUGCCCCGAUGAUGCUAGUGAGGAGAUGGUGCAACAAUAUGCACACGCAUACUUGUGGUAUGUGAUCUCGAGGACUCUGUUUGCCGACGGUGGUGGCAGGACCGCUUCGUGGAUGUGGCUGAAUGCAUUAUCUGGUUGGGAUAGUAAACAGAGCUGG